rnacentral:lncRNA from 1 species
CUGAGAGAGGCCCUCAGGCCUGGGCCAACCUGCACCUUGCCCAGCUGCCCCCUUAGCCCUCAGAGCCAGGUUGAGGUACUGCCCAAGCAGCAGUCAUGUCAGGAUUCUCCUUCCACUUCCAACAAAGAGCUCUUUAUGUCUUAGCCAGCAAAGGACAAGGCUAGCAUGGGCAUUUACCCCACUGCCUCAGCUGCCUCACCAGGAAUGCAGGAGAUGCAGAUGCACGGAUGAGAAAGCUUUGCCUGUCCCAAUGCACAGCGAUGCCUGACGCUGCCUCAGAGUACCUGUGCUCUGCCCAUCCAGCUUCUGGUCAUCCGAGGCCCAGGUCCCAAAGGGGCGUGGGAGGAGAUGGUGGGAGAGACAGCUAGGCCCCAUGCUGGACACCUGAGAGGGAGACCCUGGCUUUGUGUUGAGGUAAGUUCGAGAGAUCUGAGACUACCCUUGACUGUGGAUCGGCA